GCCCUCCCCCUCACGCCCCUGGGAGAAGUGACCUGGGGUCGGUCGGGGAGGGCACA
rfam:Thermococcus sp. 5-4, complete genome.